rnacentral:rRNA from 1 species
AUUGAACGCUGGCGGCAGGCCUAACACAUGCAAGUCGAGCGAGCGGCGGACGGGUGAGUAAUGCCUGGGAAUUGCCCAGUCGAGGGGGAUAACAGUUGGAAACGACUGCUAAUACCGCAUACGAUUGGAUUGCCCAGGUGGGAUUAGCUGGUUGGUGAGGUAAUGGCUCACCAAGGCGACGAUCCCUAGCUGGGCUGAGAGGAUGGUCAGCGGCGCUGAAACUGAGACAGGGUGCAGACGCCUACGGGAGGCAGCCGUGGGGAAUAUGAGACAAUGGGAGAAACCCUGAUGCAGCCAGGCCGAGUGUGGGAAGGAAGCCUUCGGGUUGUGAAGCACUUUCGGCGAGGAGGCGUUACUCGCAGAGGAAGCACCGGCAAACUCCGGGCCGGCAGCCGCGGUAAUAC